GAUGAAGAACGUAGCGAAAUGCGAUAAGUAAUGUGAAUUGCAGAAUUCAGUGAAUCAUCGAAUCUUUGAACGCACAUUGCGCCCGCCAGCAUUCUGGCGGGCAUGCCUGUUCGAGCGUCAUUUCAACCCUCGACUUCCCUUUGGGGAAAUCGGCGUUGGGGACCGGCCGUAUACCGCCGGCCCCGAAAUGAAGUGGCGGCCCGUCCGCGGCGACCUCUGCGUAGUAAUCCAACUCGCACCGGAACCCCGACGUGGCCACGCCGUAAAACCCCCGACUUCUGAACGUUGACCUCGGAUCAGGUAGGAAUACCCGCUGAACUUAAGCAUAUCAAUAAGCGGAGG
rnacentral:misc_RNA from 1 species